GAUGAACGCUAGCGGCAGGCCUAAUACAUGCAAGUCGAGGGGUAGAAGAGGCUUGCUACUUUGAGACCGGCGCACGGGUGCGUAACGCGUAUGCAACCUACCUUCAUCUGGGGGAUAGCCCGGAGAAAUCCGGAUUAAUACCGCAUAAAAUCACAGGAUGGCAUUAUCCAAUGAUCAAACAUUUAUGGGAUGGAGAUGGGCAUGCGUGUCAUUAGCUAGUUGGCGGGGUAACGGCCCACCAAGGCGACGAUGACUAGGGGAUCUGAGAGGAUGGCCCCCCACACUGGUACUGAGACACGGACCAGACUCCUACGGGAGGCAGCAGUAAGGAAUAUUGGUCAAUGGAGGCAACUCUGACCCCGCCAUGCCGCGUGCAGGAAGACUGCCCUAUGGGUUGUAAACUGCUUUUAUUCGGGAAUAAACCUUAUUACGUGUAAUAAGCUGAAUGUACCGAAGGAAUAAGGAUCGGCUAACUCCGUGCCAGCCGCCGCGGUAA
rnacentral:rRNA from 1 species